AGGGCGGAAGCUGAAAAGCCCGGAGAGAGAGUAGGCA
rfam:Bacteroidetes bacterium 46-16 SCNpilot_cont_1000_p_scaffold_575, whole genome shotgun sequence.